GUCAUGGAAAUGGAGCAACGACACGACACGACACGACACGACCCCUGACCGUCAACAGCACUUCUCUCAUGCGGCAGUUUUCACUAAUUUCAGGAGUGACAAAAUUGCCCCUACAACAAAAUAGAAGAGCCAAGAUGAAGGGAGCUGAUCACAGAGAUGGAGGAAACACAGCAUCUUAAAAGGGGCCCAAUGGUUCUAGAGCCAAUCAGCUGCUGAACAUAUUUAUAUG